AGAAUCAACGCUGGCGGCGUGCCUAACACAUGCAAGUCGCACGAGAAAGGGCUUCGGCUCUGAGUAAAGUGGCGCACGGGUGAGUAACACGUGACUAAUCUACCCUCGAGUGGGAAUAACUGAGAGAAAUCUCAGCUAAUACCGCAUAACACUUACGAGUCAAAGCAGCAAUGCGCUUGGGGAGGAGGUCGCGGCCGAUUAGCUAGUUGGCGGGUAAUGGCCCACCAAGGCGAUGAUCGGUA
rnacentral:rRNA from 1 species